rnacentral:tRNA from 1 species
GUCCCCAUAGUUUAAUGGAUAGAACGACUGUUUCCUAAAUAGUCGGUCUGGGUUCGAUUCCCAGUGGGGGCACCA